rnacentral:lncRNA from 1 species
CCCAGGGUUCCCCGUUGGCUUCCCUUCCAUCUAAAGGCCUCCCCCAAGUUUCGGGCCAAAAAGCUGAAAUAAAGAACGAAGUCAAUAAUAAUAUGAAGUGUAUGAGAAAUAGCUGGAAAAUUCAUCAUCCAUGACUUGAAGAAAUUGACGUUUUACAAGUUAUAUUUUCGGUGAAGAGGCACUUUCAAGAUCCUUCUCUGAGACCUGCACCAAUAAGACUAUACCAAUGUUCAGUUGAAACAUCAGACACUGUUCUGGUUAUGAUGGACACCACAGUGAAAGAGACCUGGUCCCUGCCUUGAGGAAACCCAACUGCUGGUAGAGAGCUCAGAGUAAUGAUUAGGAUGCAAUAUGAGGGAUGCAGUAAUUGGGAUCUACUUCUGGGAACCGUCACAGCCUGAGAAAGAUGGCAUGCCCUGAAUGGAAUUCACAGAGAAUUAUUUUAAGUAAAAGAAGUUUAAAGUUA